GGGCCGUUAGCACAGUUUGGUAAUGCGCCGCAUUCGCAUUGCGGAGAUCGGCGGUUCGAAUCCGCCACGGUCCACCA
rnacentral:tRNA from 2 species